rnacentral:rRNA from 1 species
CAAUAGCGUAUAUUAAAGCUGUUGCGGUUAAAAAGCUCGUAGUUGGAUUUCUGUCAAGGACAACUGGUCCGCCCCUCGGGUGAGCACAUAGUUUGGUCUUGGCAUCUUGUUGGAAACUGUUGCUGCACUUGGUUGUGUGGCGCAGUGUCCAGCACUUUCACUUUGAGGAAAUUGGAGUGUUUCAAGCAGGCACAUGCCUUUGGACACAGUAGCAUGGAAUAAUUAGAUUGGGCUUUUGCUCCAACUUGUCGGUUUCUGGAGCUGGGGUGAGAAUUAAUGGGGAUUGUUGGGGGCAUCCGAAUUUAGCCGUCAGAGGUGAAAUUCUUGGAUCUGCUAAAGACGGACAACUGCGAAAGCGUUUGCCCAGGAUGUUUUCAUUGA